rnacentral:rRNA from 1 species
UACGUAGGUGGCAAGCGAUACUCGGAAUCACUAGGCGUAAAGCGCAGGUAGGCGGUUUGGUAAGUCUUUUGUGAAAGCUCCUGGCUCAACUGGGAGAGGUCAAGGGAAACUACCGGACUAGAGUGUGGUAGGGGAUACUGGAAUUCCUGGUGUAGCGGUGAAAUGCGUAGAUAUCAGGAGGAAUACCUAUGGCGAAAGCAGGUAGCUGGGCCAUCACUGACGCUGAGCUGCGAAAGCUAGGGGAGCAAACAGG